UACGUAGGGUGCAAGCGUUGUCCGGAAUUAUUGGGCGUAAAGAGCUCGUAGGCGGUUUGUUGCGUCGGCUGUGAAAUCCCGAGGCUCAACCUCGGGUCUGCAGUCGAUACGAGCAAACUAGAGUGUUGCAGGGGAGACUGGAAUUCCUGGUGUAGCGGUGAAAUGCGCAGAUAUCAGGAGGAACACCGGUGGCGAAGGCGGGUCUCUGGACAGUUCCUGACGGCUGAGGCAACGAAGGUCAGGGGAGC
rnacentral:rRNA from 1 species